GGAGUUAGCCGGUGCUUCUUCUGCGAGUAACGUCACAGAUGUAAGGUAUUAACUUACACCCUUUCCUCCUCGCUGAAAGUGCUUUACAACCCGAAGGCCUUCUUCACACACGCGGCAUGGCUGCAUCAGGGUUUCCCCCAUUGUGCAAUAUUCCCCACUGCUGCCUCCCGUAGGAGUCUGGGCCGUGUCUCAGUCCCAGUGUGGCUGAUCAUCCUCUCAGACCAGCUAGGGAUCGUCGCCUAGGUGAGCCUUUACCUCACCUACUAGCUAAUCCCACCUGGGCUUAUCCAUCAGCGCAAGGCCCGAAGGUCCCCUGCUUUCCCCCGUAGGGCGUAUGCGGUAUUAGCAGUCGUUUCCAACUGUUAUCCCCCACAAAUGGGCAAAUUCCCAGGCAUUACUCACCCGUCCGCCGCUCGUCAUCUUCAAAGCAAGCUUUUGAAAUGUUACCGCUCGACUUGCAUGUGUUAGGCCUGCCGCCAGCGUUCAAUCUGAACCAAGAUCAAAUUCUGA
rnacentral:rRNA from 1 species